AGUUGUGUGGCUUAGUUGGUUAAAGCGCCGGUCUAGCGAAUACGGAGUCGUGGGUUCGAAUCCCAGCAGAACGC
rfam:Aedes albopictus isolate Foshan contig96649, whole genome shotgun sequence.